rnacentral:rRNA from 1 species
CGAGUUCUCGUUGAUGAUCGGUGCUUGCACCGAGAUUCAACAUGGAACGAGUGGCGGACGGGUGAGUAACACGUGGGUAACCUGCCCUUAAGUGGGGGAUAACAUUUGGAAACAGAUGCUAAUACCGCAUAGAUCCAAGAACCGCAUGGUUCUUGGCUGAAAGAUGGCGUAAGCUAUCGCUUUUGGAUGGACCCGCGGCGUAUUAGCUAGUUGGUGAGGUAAUGGCUCACCAAGGCGAUGAUACGUAGCCGAACUGAGAGGUUGAUCGGCCACAUUGGGACUGAGACACGGCCCAAACUCCUACGGGAGGCAGCAGUAGGGAAUCUUCCACAAUGGACGCAAGUCUGAUGGAGCAACGCCGCGUGAGUGAAGAAGGCUUUCGGGUCGUAAAACUCUGUUGUUGGAGAAGAAUGGUCGGCAGAGUAACUGUUGUCGGCGUGACGGUAUCCAACCAGAAAGCCACGGCUAACUACGUGCCAGCAGCCGCGGUAAUACGUAGGUGGCAAGCGUUAUCCGGAUUUAUUGGGCGUAAAGCGAGCGCAGGCGGUUUUUUAAGUCUGAUGUGAAAGCCCUCGGCUUAACCGAGGAAGCGCAUCGGAAACUGGGAAACUUGAGUGCAGAAGAGGACAGUGGAACUCCAUGUGUAGCGGUGAAAUGCGUAGAUAUAUG